ACGCUCGACACCUACGGGAGGCUGCAGUUGGGAAUAUUGGACAAUGGAGGAAACUCUGAUCCAGUGACGCCGCGUGAAGGAAGAAGGUCUUCGGAUUGUAAACUUAUUUUGUCAGGGAAGAAAAAUGACUGUACCUGAAGAAAAAGCACCGGCUAACUACGUGCCAGCAGCCGCGGUAAUCUGAGCGGGCUGGCAAGGC
rnacentral:rRNA from 1 species